rnacentral:rRNA from 1 species
UACGUAGGGUGCGAGCGUUGUCCGGAAUUAUUGGGCGUAAAGGGCUCGUAGGCGGUUUGUCGCGUCGGGAGUGAAAACCCAGGGCUUAACCCUGGGCUGGCUUCCGAUACGGGCAGACUAGAGGUAUGCAGGGGAGAACGGAAUUGCUGGUGUAGCGGUGAAAUGCGCAGAUAUCAGGAGGAACACCGGUGGCGAAGGCGGUUCUCUGGGCAUUACCUGACGCUGAGGAGCGAAAGUGUGGGGAGCGAACAGG